GUGAGGAAUAUUGCGCAAUGGAGGCAACUCUGACGCAGCCAUGCCGCGUGCAGGAAGAAGGCGCUACGCGUUGUAAACUGCUUUUAACCGGGAAGAAACCCCAGGACGUGUCCUGGGUUGACGGUACCGGAGGAAUAAGCACCGGCUAACUUCGUGCCAGCAGCCGCGGUAAUACGAAGGGUGCAAGCGUUAUCCGGAUUCAUUGGGUUUAAAGGGUGCGUAGGCGGAGCGUUAAGUCAGUGGUGAAAUCCUGCAGCUUAACUGUAGACUUGCCAUUGAUACUGGCGCUCUUGAGUGCGCUUGAAGUGGGCGGAAUGUGCCGUGUAGCGGUGAAAUGCUUAGAUAUGGCACAGAACACCAAUUGCGAAGGCAGCUCGCUAAGGCGAUACUGACGCUGAGGCACGAAAGCGUGGGGAUCGAACAGGAUUAGAAACCCCGGUAGUCC
rnacentral:rRNA from 1 species